UACAGAGUGCUGAUUGGUGUAUUUACAAACCGUUAGCUAGACAUAAAGGUUCUCCAAGUCCCCACUAGACUCAGGAGCCCAGCUGGCUUCACCCAGUGGAUCCUGCACCGGGGCAGCAGGUGGAGCUGCUUGCCCGUCCCGCGCCCUGCGCCUGCACUCCUCAGCCCUUGGGCGGUUGAUGGGACCCUGCGCCGCGGAGAAGGGGGCGGCGCUCGUCGGGUAGGCUCCCGCGCGCAGGAGCCCACGGCGAGGCGGGGGAGGGACUCAGGUAUGGCGGGCUGCAGGUCCCGAGCCCUGCGCCCGCCGGAAGGCAGCUAAGGCCCGGCGAGAAAUCCAUUGCAGCGCCGGUGGGCCGGCACUGCUGGGGGACACGACGCACCCUCCGCAGCUGCUGGCCUGCGCGCUAAGCCCCUCACUGCCUGGGGCCGGCGGGCCGGCCGUCCGCUCAGAGUGCAGGGCCCGGCAAGCCCACGCCCAUCCGGAACUCUAGCUGGCCCGCAAGCGCUGCGCGCAGCCCGUGUUCCCGCCCGAGCCUCUCCCUCCACACCUCCCGGCAAGCUGAGGGAGCUGGCUCCGGCCUCAACCAGCCCAGAGAGGGGCCCCCACAGCGCAGUGGUGGGCUGAAGGGCUCCCUGAGCAUGGCCAGAGCGGAUGCCGAGGCCGAGGAGGCGCCAAGAGCGAGCGAGGGCUGCGAGGACUGCCAGCAAGCUGUCACCUCUCAAUGGGGAAAAGAUGUCAUAAUGAACUGCAAGCAAAUUCCACCAAGAGCUGAUUUAGGCAAAAUCUCCAGAAAAACAUAAAGCUUCAAUAAUGAAUAAAAAAGACCAGAGGAUGCAAAAUUCCACAGGAAUGUCAGUCAAAGAAAGCCAUGCAGACCAAUGUCGGUUAACGGUAAGGAAAUUUGAAUUCC
rnacentral:lncRNA from 10 species